rnacentral:rRNA from 1 species
CCUACGGGAGGCAGCAGUGGGGAAUAUUGCGCAAUGGGCGAAAGCCUGACGCAGCGACGCCGCGUGAGGGAUGAAGGCCUUCGGAUCGUAAACCUCUGUUAGCAGGGAAGAACGGUCACUGUGUUAAUCAGCAGUGUAUUGACGGUACCUGCAAAGGAAGCACCGGCUAACUCCGUGCCAGCAGCCGCGGUAAUACGGAGGGUGCGAGCGUUAAUCGGAAUUACUGGGCGUAAAGCGCUCGUAGGCGGUAUGUCAAGUCAAGGGUGAAAGCCCCGGGCUAAACGUGGGAACUGCCUUCUAGACUGGCAGACUAGAGUGUGUGAGAGGAUGGUGGAAUUCCAGGUGUAGGAGUGAAAUCCGUAGAUAUCUGGAAGAACAUCAGUGGCGAAGGCGACUAUCUGGCACGUAACUGACGCUGAGGAGCGAAAGCGUGGGUAGCAAACAGGAUUAGAUACCCUGGUAGUC